rnacentral:rRNA from 1 species
CCUACGGGAGGCAGCAGUGGGGAAUAUUGCGCAAUGGGCGAAAGCCUGACACAGCGACGCCGCGUGAGGGAUGAAGGUCUUCGGAUCGUAAACCUCUGUCAGCAGGGAAGAACGGUCACUGUGCUAAUCAGCAGUGAAUUGACGGUACCUGCAAAGGAAGCACCGGCUAACUCCGUGCCAGCAGCCGCGGUAAUACGGAGGGUGCGAGCGUUAAUCGGAAUUACUGGGCGUAAAGCGCUCGUAGGCGGUAUGUCAAGUCAAGGGUGAAAUCCCCGAGCUCAACGUGGGAACUGCCUUUGAAACGGGCAAACUGGAGUGUGUGAGAGGAUAGUGGAAUUCCAGGUGUAGGAGUGAAAUCCGUAGAUAUCUGGAGGAACAUCAGUGGCGAAGGCGACUAGCUGGAACAUAACUGACGCUGAGGAGCGAAAGCGUGGGUAGCAAACAGGAUUAGAUACCCUUGUAGUC